GACGUAGGGCGCGAGCGUUGUCCGGAUUUAUUGGGCGUAAAGAGCUCGUAGGCGGCUUGUCGCGUCGACCGUGAAAACUUGGGGCUCAACCCCAAGCCUGCGGUCGAUACGGGCAGGCUCGAGUUCGGUAGGGGAGACUGGAAUUCCUGGUGUAGCGGUGAAAUGCGCAGAUAUCAGGAAGAACACCCGUGGCGAAGGCGGCUCUCUGGGACGGUACUGACGCUGAGACGCGAAAGCGUGGGGAGCGAACAGG
rnacentral:rRNA from 1 species